UGAAUGCAGACAGAGGAAGCAGCGCUCCGUCACGCUUUAUGUACUCCAACACUACAAACACUGCUCGCCAACUCGCAUUAUGGAAAUAUGACCAAUACAAUGUUGUAAACGAGUACAGACGCAAUAUGAAGUUGAAUUCGUUUAAUUCUGUAUAUAUUAUGAAUUAUGUAUAGAAUGUAAGAACCGGUGUUGUUGAUGCGCAGGCUCCUGCAGGUCUUUCUAGUCCUGCGUUGAACUGCCGAUCGGUAGACCGCUACCAUGACGGAUCUGAGAUAGGUUUCGAUUCUCUACAGUGGGCGUUAUUUAAACGGCCCUCUAAUCACCAGCCUACAGAGCAGAGGAAGGACAGAAAGCAUAUGAUGCUUAAUCCCAAACUUCAGUGGUGGAAGAAGCUGUGAGAGCCUUUGCUGAAGUGUAAGUAGCCUAUUCAUUUUAUUUAGAGGUAGGUGGAAGUCAUAAUGCUAUAUUUGUGUCUUUCCAUAACUACUGUAAGCGUCGUGGGUGUAUGAUAAAGGAAUUAAUCAGUCCAACACGUUUUGGGUUUUUCUCAUAACUUUAGUCAAGCUUCCACGGAACCGCACCAAGUCAGAUCACCGUCUCUCGCUACUCUCCUACUCCCGUCACCUCCUCCCCAUCACAUCAAACCCCGUAAACAGUGCCAACUAGUGGUCAUACUUGAUCAACACAGGAUUUCAGUCUUACACGACUGCUUUUCCUUACAUUGUAUCGGUUUACUUAAACUAAGGACUUUUUUCCCCACCUGGAUGUCAUCAGAAGAUGAUCAGAAGGCUGAUCAACCCUUUUCCUUUUUAACAAAGACAUGCAAGUUACUCACUAAAAGAGGCAACCAGAGGGGGGACACCAAGCCGAGGUACUACGAGGGCUGCACAUUUGCACCUAACGCUUGUCCUGUGUACCUCUAAUGCUCUGAGCAUUAAAAGAGUGACAAUACUGGAAGAGACUGUUGUCUUGUACUCGUUGUCAGAGUGGGAUUACAAAAUUGCCACGACAGAAGCCCUCCUACCUCCUGUCAAGAAAAGCGUUUGAUUUGUGUGUGAAGAACCCACAGUGCAUGUAUGUGAUGUUUGAAGCUGUUAUACACUCACACUGACUACACUGUAGGCGAGAUAUUGACCUGAAGUCUAAAGUCAGUUUGUACAACGUUUCCUGGCCAGGAAACCACAGCAUGGGAGAAACAGGAAGUGAAGAGACUGUGAGAGAUGAUCUACUUCAGUAUGGACUUUAGUUACAACCAAAGUGACGUCUAUUGUUUCCUGUUAACUCUGUCGUGAAUUUAAUAAAAGGGCUUAAGUAUUCAAAACUUUUGGAUGAUAAGAGUAACAGUUACAACUUUAAAGGAAGUAAUUAGAAAGCAAAAACAACAAAAUGCAUAAAUAAAAAAGACAAAUAAAUAAAGUAGC